rnacentral:rRNA from 1 species
CCCUGCCUUUUGUACACACCGCCCGUCGCUACUACCGAUUGAAUGAUUUAGUGAGGUCUUCGGACCGGUGCGCGGAGGCGGUUUACCGCUCCCGAUGUUGUCGGAAAGAUGACCAAACUUGAUCAUUU